rnacentral:lncRNA from 1 species
CAACGUUUUUUGAAUUUGUGCGCCGAAUUUGCUGAGACUGCUUGCAUUUUUACCACUGGACAAAGACUGAUUACUUCUAUACAAUAAUAAUAAGGACAAGUGCUUGUGGCACUUGUGGUCUUCUCUGAACAGCAGUCUGGUGAACACUGACCGGCCUCAGUACACUGAAGAUCUAAGAAAACACUUCACACCCUACAACCCCUAAAAAUAACCCAGAUUUGACAGCAGUGCACACCCAUCUGAGGCCGACCUGUUUUACUUCAUGAUCACCCCAGAUACUUCUACAACUAACCCGCUUUGUAAGUUCUCAUAUUAGCUACACCUUAAAGAAGCACAUCAUUUUGGGAAAAUUUCCUGUGUAUUUGCUGGUAAAUUACUG